rnacentral:lncRNA from 1 species
GACUAUUUCAGACAUGAUCAUCUUCCCAUAGGAGGAAGGGCAGGGGGGUGGGGGGGUCUUAUGAUUCAGAUGACUUCAUCUUUGAGGGACAGAGAAGCCCCAAGUGACAGAUUGCUUCAUUGUGCUUAUCAGAAAAUUCCUGAUUGACAGGUUUAGGCUUAUAUUUCUGGAGGAACGUUGAAACUGAAAUUAGGUUAGGCAUUAAACCCUGGUUUGGUGACUUGGCCCAAACAAUGUCAUUUUGCACCUCUUUUUAAUGAGAGCAACUUCUCCAAAUAUUUCUGGGGAGGGGGAUGAGUCUGCCUAAGAAUCUAAAACGGGGUCGCCUAGGUGGCUCAGUUGGUUGAGUGUCAGACUUCCACUCAGGUCAUAGUGCCACGGUUUGUGGGUUCGAGCUCUGUGACCAGCUCUGUGCUGACAGCUCAGAGCCUGAAGUCUGCUUUGGACUCUGUGUCUACCUCUCUCUCUCUCUCUGCCCCUCCCCCCGCUUGCGUGAGUGCACUGUCUCUCUCUCUUUCAAAACUAAAUAAACAUUAAAAAAAUUAAAAAAAAAAAAAAAAAAGAAUCUGAAACGGAACUUUCCCCAAAUUCUCCCUCUGGGAGCACAUUCCCUCCCAGGGAAUUGCUUGGUUUAGUUCACAAAAGCCGCCAGCACUGAAGCAACCAAACAAUUUUUCAUGAUUGGAUUUGGUCCCUACCUCCCAAAUGAAAGGUGAAGAUUGAAGAUAGCAAGAACCAAACUCUACCAUAAAAAAGAUCCACGCCCAAAACAAUGUGAUUUUUCUUUAACGUUGUUCAUUGCAGUGAUAGUUUGUACAUUUGAGAUGCAAGGUUUGGGAGCAUAAAACCACAGUUGAUGCAAUCUUUCUUUAGGCUUCAAAAGAAGCCAGGAAGGAGCGGCAGCAGGCACCCAGCAAGGCGAGUCCCAGUCCAGGGAACACCCACUCGGCUCCAGGCUGAGAGAGAGAGUCUGAAAACCGAAACCAGCCCAGCGCACACCGACGACGCCCCUGAGGCUGCCUGCCCCGCCGGCCAGUCUCUGCCCGGGGACACCCGCGCGGGCGGCAGGGCCAGGGUGGAGGAGGG